UACGGGGGGGGCAAGCGUUGUUCGGAAUUACUGGGCGUAAAGGGCGCGUAGGCGGUUUGCUAAGUUGAAUGUGAAAACUCUGGGCUUAACCCAGAGCCUGCAUUCAAUACUGGCAGGCUAGAGUUCUGGAGGGGAUAGCGGAAUUCCUGGUGUAGCGGUGAAAUGCGUAGAUAUCAGGAGGAAGACCGGUGGCGAAGGCGGCCUGCUGGGCAGUUACUGACACUGAUGCGCGACAGCGUGGGGAGCAAACAGG
rnacentral:rRNA from 1 species